ACGCUCGACACCUACGGAAGGCAGCAGUGGGGAAUAUUGCACAAUGGGGGAAACCCUGAUGCAGCGACGCCGCGUGAAGGAAGAAGUAUCUCGGUAUGUAAACUUCUAUCAGCAGGGAAGAAAAUGACGGUAUCUGACUAAGAAGCCCCGGCUAACUACGUGCCAGCAGCCGCGGUAAUCUGAGCGGGCUGGCAAGGC
rnacentral:rRNA from 1 species